rnacentral:lncRNA from 1 species
UUUCAACUCUGGGAGCCUUGAUUGUACUGUUUGUUAUAGUCUGUUGAUGUAUCCAUCUCUCCACCAGAAUGAACAACCCGAUGAUGACUCUGAGCACCCAAAGGUGCCCACCCGCGUGUCCUCAGGGCCUAGCAAGGCUUUCGGAAAUAUCUGUGGAGAGACUAAGGAAGUGUGGGUGCUGCAGCUUCUGAGGACUGAGUGCAACGGGAAAGCAUUUUCUAAGCCAUUGUCAUCCCAUUUGAUCCCCUGAAGGACACCUCGGCCUCAACAGUUCUACGAAUCCAGAGAGUCUGCUCUACAGAAAUGAAGACAAGCACGCAGUCAACCGAGAGGCCCAGAGCUCUCCGUUUGCUCCGGACACCUGAUACGGCACACUCCCUACGUUGCAAGUCCCAGAUAAAUAAUGACCGAAGGAAUCACACCGGGGCUGCGGCCCGUGGCACCCCGGGGAGCUGGGGUUUCCCCGAGGAGACGACUCCCUCAGAGUCUGCAGGUCAGCCUGACACCAUCCGUCGGGGGCUGGAAAGGCCAGGGGCCCUGGGGGGUGGGCACCGUGUUGAGCUGUUUAUGUCGUCUUCAGCCGCCGCACUACCUCAUUUGGACUCGGAGUUUCCUAUCGAGACUAUAGCUGCUCCAGAUUGCAUAGGAAAGACUUCACUUAGUAUAAACACCAACUUAAUCCCACUCACAUAUUCCAUCCAGAUCUUGUUUCUUGACAGUUUUCUCUGCGGGCUACUGUGA